GUUCGGGGCCCUGAUGAGGUUGGGCGAGUUCGCCCUGUCCCGACCGUCGUCGUCGUCCCCGUCGGGCUGUCAGCCCUUCUUUCCGAUGCAGGCAAGACGACGAGAGUUCGCCGUUUUCCUUCUUCGUUCCAGCAGUUGAGGCUGAACUUAUGAAGGAAAUGGAGGGAUUUAAGCCUAGGCUUACCUCUGGCAGCACAAUGAAUCUCCCUUUUCGUUUGAUUGCCGAUGCGCCAAUGAAGAAAAUGAGAGGAAUGCUAGCUUAAAAAGAGAUUAUAUGAGAAGGAGUUGUUGGUUGAUGGGAGUUGAUAUUAAAAGAGGGCGGCUGAAGAGAUGGGGAACAAGGGUGGUGGGCAGCACACUCAUUUUCUUUCUCUCAACUUUAAUGAUUUUUAUGGUAGUGGUGGGGAGGUAAGAGUGAGUGGAAAUUGAAGGGGAUUGGAGGCUGCUGCAGAUUUUGCACAGCCCCACACAUUUCAUAUCUCUCUAUCUUCUUUUCUUUUAUUGACUUUUCUUCCUUUGAUUGUUAAUACUUUAGUGAGUGGCAGUAAGUGGCCACGUAGAGUACAAAAUCUUUGUGAUAUACUAGACGAUUUUCCCCAAGCUGAGAACUAGCCUGUAAUCUGUGAACUGUAAAUAAAAUACUGGCUUCUAUUCUCUAUCAUCCGUUAUUGUAUCUGUU